UACGUAGGGUGCGAGCGUUGUUCGGAAUUACUGGGCGUAAAGCGCUUGUAGGUGGCUCUGCAAGUCAGAUGUGAAAGCCUGGGGCUCAACCCCAGAAGUGCAUCUGAAACUGCAGGGCUUGAGUAUGGGAGAGGGUGACGGAAUUCCUGGUGUAGUGGUGAAAUACGUAGAUAUCAGGAGGAACAUCGGUGGCGAAGGCGGUUGCCUGGCCCAAUACUGACACUGAGAAGCGAAAGCGUGGGGAUCAAACAGG
rnacentral:rRNA from 1 species